rnacentral:rRNA from 1 species
UUCGUAGGCGGGCUGAUAAGUCAGAGGUGAAAGCCAACGGCUCAACCGUUGAAUUGCCUCUGAUACUGUCAGUCUUGAGUCCGUCAGGGGAUGGUGGAAUUCCUGGUGUAGCGGUGAAAUGCGUAAAUAUCAGGAGGAACACCGGUGGCGAAGGCGGCCAUCUGGGACGGUACUGACGCUGAGGAACGAAAGCAUGGGUAUCAAACAGGAUUAGAUACCCUGGUAGUCC